rnacentral:rRNA from 1 species
GUCUACAGCCAUGCUACCCUGAACAAGCCCACCCCGUCUGAUCUCGGAAGCUAAGCAGGGUCAGGCCUGGUUAGUACUUGUCUGGGAGACCACCUAGGAAGACCAGGUGCUGUAGGCG